ensembl:lncRNA
CGUGUAUCAUCAAAUCUAAAAAAUGUGCUGAUAAGUGACGUCUUUAGCCUUUAAACUGUGUCCAUAUAAAAGACCGCAAUAGAUUUUUGUCACAUCAGAUGUAAGGUUUGCAACAUGGUGCAAAGUGGACGAAAUAGACACUGAAAUAGUUUUAAACAUCAAGAGCAGUGAGGGUGGGGAAUUCAAAACGUUUCAUCUUUCUCUUCACCUGGAUUCAAAAGAAAAAGGAUGGCUGUGGCACAGAUAAUAUCAAUCUUCCUGAUUAUAAUGGUGGCUGAUGCACCUACAACUGCAGCAGCUUCAACUGCCACAACAGCGACUGAUGCAACUACUGCUACAGCAGCAACGACUGCUGUUCCGACAACAGUAGCAUCUUCAACUGAGGCAACAGCGACUGCUGCAAGUACAACAGCGGAUCCUGCAACGUCUGCAACAGUGACAGAUGACCUUACAACUGCAUUAGCAACGACUGCUGCAACUACAACUGCAGCAGCUUCAACUGCCACAACAGCGAAUGAUGCAAGUACAACAGCGGAUCUUGCAACUUCCGCAACAG